rnacentral:lncRNA from 1 species
UCCCACCCAGAGGCUUUAAAUGUCUGACAACUUCCUGGUAGAAAUAUUGCUAUGCAGGAAAACCUCAGAUGCCUGUCUCUUAAGUUUAAACCUAUGUAUAACAAAAAGGCCUUCAUACACCACUACACUAGAGAGGGCUUAAGUGAAUCCGAAUUCACUGAAGCACAAGAAGAUUUAAAUGAUUUGAUUUCUGAUUAUCAGAGUUUUCAGGAUUGCGGAAAAGGGGAGGAAAAAAAAAAAUCUAAAUCAAACAAAAAGCGAAAUUACGACGCGGCGCCAUAUGCCAAGACCAACUCAGGGAAAGGCCCCGUGGGUCAAGCCGGGGCAAGAAGCAUGGGGGUUGGGAUGUCAGGAGGACCAAUCCCGAAUAAGAACUCCGAAGACAGCUUCUUAGAGCAGAGAGCAUCUCAGAAUGCAAAGAAAUAUUCAAGAGACGGAUCUCUCAGAGACAAUGCUUCAAAGACGACUACAGAACUUGGACCACCACCACCACCUAAUAAUGGGGGAAAGCCAAGCACUUCAAGGAAAUUUAAGCCCCCAAAUGAAACAAGAUCAGACACUAAUCAACCAAGAAAGGUGAACUCCAAAGUGAAAUCUUGUAACAAACCAGAAGUAGUAUAUAAUUGCUGUAUCAGCAGUUAUUUAUUCGUCUCAAAUUAAGAUCUUCAGAAGGAACUAGAAGCUGGAGAGACAGUAAUUCCUUCCUCUACAGUGUGGCUUAAGCUCUAUGAAGAUGGAAGAACAGUGGAAAGGCCAAAAAAAAAAGUUGACAAUUGUUGCAUCGAAGGGUAAAAAAUUGUCAACUUGAUAAUGCAAAGACUAAAUACAUAGUACUGGAAAAAGGUAAAUUUUUUUCUCACUUUGAUGAAACUCACAUUUCAUUCAAGUCAAUAAUAAAACUCUUCUCAAAAGAACGUGAACCCA